GUGAAUCAUCGAAUUUUUGAACGCAAAUUGCACUUUCUGGUAUUCCGGAAAGUAUGCCUGUUUGAGGGUCAGUUAAAUAAAAAUCGGUGUUGUUGCGGCGGUUCGUGGUGACGCGUCGGAAUGGAGGUGUCUUACCUUCGGAUAAGUGACGGAAAAUUUUGCAUGAUUGUGGAAAGUAGUUAAA
rnacentral:misc_RNA from 1 species